rnacentral:rRNA from 1 species
UACGGGGGGGGCAAGCGUUGUUCGGAAUUACUGGGCGUAAAGGGCGUGUAGGCGGCCUGCUAAGUCGAACGUGAAAUCCCUGGGCUCAACCCAGGAACUGCGUCCGAUACUGGUUGGCUUGAAUCCGGGAGAGGGAUGUGGAAUUCCAGGUGUAGCGGUGAAAUGCGUAGAUAUCUGGAGGAACACCGGUGGCGAAGGCGACAUCCUGGACCGGUAUUGACGCUGAGGCGCGAAAGCCAGGGGAGCAAACGGG